rnacentral:rRNA from 2 species
GAUCCUGGCUCAGUCGGUAUCAGGGAGCUUGCUCCCUGAUUCAGCGGCGGACGGGUGAGUAAUGCCUAGGAAUCUGCCUGGUAGUGGGGGACAACGUUUCGAAAGGAACGCUAUACCGCAAACUUCCUACGGGAGAAAGCAGGGGACCUUCGGGCCUUGCGCUAUCAGAUGAGCCUAGGUCGGAUUAGCUAGUUGGUGAGGUAAUGGCUCACCAAGGCGACGAUCCGUAACUGGUCUGAGAGGAUGAUCAGUCACACUGGAACUGAGACACGGUCCAGACUCCUACGGGAGGCAGCAGUGGGGAAUAUUGGACAAUGGGCGAAAGCCUGAUCCAGCCAUGCCGCGUGUGUGAAGAAGGUCUUCGGAUUGUAAAGCACUUUAAGUUGGGAGGAAGGGCAGUAAGCUAAUACCUUGCUGUUUUGACGUUACCGACAGAAUAAGCACCGGCCAACUUCGUGCCAGCGGCCGCGGUAAUACCAAGGGUGCAAGCGUUAAUCGGAAUUACAGGGCGUAAAGCGCGCGUACGUUGUUUGUUAAGUUGGAUGUGAAAGCCCCGGGCUCAACCUGGGAACUGCAUCCAAACUGGCAAGCUUGAGUAUGGCAGAUGGUGGUGGAAUUUCCUGUGUAGCGUGAAAUGCGUAGAUUAGGAGGAACACCAGUGGCGAAAGCUACCACCUAGGCUAAUACUGACCUGAGGUGCGAAGGCGUGGGAGCAGACAGGAUUAGAUACCCUGGUGUCCACGCCCUAACGAUUCCACUAGCCAUUGGGAUCCUUGAGAUCUAUGGCGCACUCACGCAGUAAGUCACCGCCGGGGAGUACGGCCGCAGGGUAAACUCAAUGAAUUGACUGCGGCCCGCACAGCUGGUGGAGCAGUUGCUUU